ACGUGCGACCAUAGUCAGUAGAAAAUAUGGCAUCCCGUCCGCUCUGCCUUAAUCAAGCUGCUGAACGCCAGACUAGUAGUUGGGUCGGUGACGACCAGCGAAUCCCUGGUGUUGCACGUU
rfam:Togninia minima TCRPA7 unplaced genomic scaffold PA7_03_scaffold_132, whole genome shotgun sequence.